UACGUAGGGGGCAAGCGUUGUCCGGAAUCAUUGGGCGUAAAGGGCUCGUAGGCGGUCUGUCGCGUCGGGAGUGAAAUUUUACAGCUUAACUGUGAACGUGCUUUCGAUACGGGCAGACUGGAGGCAUGCAGGGGAGAACGGAAUUCCUGGUGUAGCGGUGAAAUGCGCAGAUAUCAGGAGGAACACCGGUGGCGAAGGCGGGUCUCUGGGCCGAUAUUGACGCUGAGGAGCGAAAGCGUGGGGAGCGAACAGG
rnacentral:rRNA from 1 species